rnacentral:rRNA from 1 species
GAUGAACGCUGGCGGCGUGCCUAAUACAUGCAAGUCGAGCGAACGGACGAGAAGCUUGCUUCUCUGAUGUUAGCGGCGGACGGGUUAGUAACACGUGGAUAACCUACCUAUAAGACUGGGAUAACUUCGGGAAACCGGAGCUAAUACCGGAUAAUAUUUUGAACCGCAUGGUUCAAAAGUGAAAGACGGUCUUGCUGUCACUUAUAGAUGGAUCCGCGCUGCAUUAGCUAGUUGGUAAGGUAACGGCUUACCAAGGCAACGAUGCAUAGCCGACCUGAGAGGGUGAUCGGCCACACUGGAACUGAGACACGGUCCAGACUCCUACGGGAGGCAGCAGUAGGGAAUCUUACGCAAUGGGCGAAAGCCUGACGGAGCAACGCCGCGUGAGUGAUGAAGGUCUUCGGAUCGUAAAACUCUGUUAUUAGGGAAGAACAUAUGUGUAAGUAACUGUGCACAUCUUGACGGUACCUAAUCAGAAAGCCACGGCUAACUACGUG